GCCUCUUUAGCUCAGUGGUAGAGCACUGGUCUCGAAAACCAGGGGUCGUGAGUUCGAUCCUCACAAAAUCUU